UUAUUAUGAACCAGGAGCUGUGCUGAGGUUUCUGAAGAGUCACUGCCAGGACCUGCAGAGGGAGUGGGCCCGAUUCCUUCACUGGGUGGAGUAUGCCUAGAAUUCAUUGCGUCACUCCUCCACUGGGCUGACUCCCUUCCAGUGUGUUCUUGGUUAUCAGCCAGCCUUGGCUCCGUGGACCCUGAACCAGACCGAAGCUCCUGAGGUAGAAAAGUGGUUCAGGCGCGCAGCAGAAGUUUGGAACAAUGCCCACGGGAGGCUCCAGCGCACCAUCUGCCACCUGAAGGAGCAGGCGGAUUUGCCACUGCAGUAAGGCUCCCAUGUUCCAUCCUUGUGAUUGUGGUUGCCUCUCCACCAGGAACCUCCCACUUCGCCUGCCAUGCCGGUGGUUCCUGGUCUCCUGGUUGAAGCUAUCCCACAUCACACCUAUCCGUCUCCCCUCGAGGGAAGCCCCGCCUACGCCGUCAGAUCCCUCCUGCACUACCGAAGUCAUGGGGGUUGGCUUCAUUACCUGGUGGACAACAUUCCAGAUCCCAACAUCACCCGAGAUUUCCACCUUCGCCGCUCCUCACCCUCUGGGCCGUCCCCCUGGCCGGCGUCAUCCUGCAGCUGAAGCUGCGCGUCGGGGUCCUGGCAACCCUGGUCCUGGCAACCCAUCAUUACACACACCUGGCAGCCCUCAUUACGCACACCUGCACCCCAUCAUUAGGCACACUUGGACUACCCUGAUUACUCCCCCUUUAUGUAGCACUCCCUAGCACUACUCUUCAGGCAGAUGAUUCUGUGUUCUGUGUUCAUGGCCAGAAGCUUCUCUUGAUUUGUUUCGAUCCAUGUUCUUUAUUAUUAAACUCACCAACUGCACCUGC